rnacentral:rRNA from 1 species
CAGUCGAACGAAACUUCUUUAUCACCGAGUGCUUGCACUCACCGAUAAAGAGUUGAGUGGCGAACGGGUGAGCAACACGUGGGCAACCUGCCCAAAAGAGGGGGAUAACACUUGGAAACAGGUGCUAAUACCGCAUAACCAUAGUUACCGCAUGGUAACUAUGUAAAAGGUGGCUAUGCUACCGCUUUUGGAUGGGCCCGCGACGCAUUAGCUAGUUGGUGGGGUAAAGGCUUACCAAGGCAAUGAUGCGUAGCCGAACUGAGAGGUUGAUCGGCCACAUUGGGACUGAGACACGGCCCAAACUCCUACGGGAGGCAGCAGUAGGGAAUCUUCCACAAUGGGCGAAAGCCUGAUGGAGCAACGCCGCGUGGGUGAAGAAGGUCUUCGGAUCGUAAAACCCUGUUGUUAGAGAAGAAAGUGCGUGAGAGUAACUGUUCACGUUUCGACGGUAUCUAACCAGAAAGCCACGGCUAACUACGUGCCAGCAGCCGCGGUAAUACGUAGGUGGCAAGCGUUAUCCGGAUUUAUUGGGCGUAAAGGGAACGCAGGCGGUCUUUUAAGUCUGAUGUGAAAGCCUUCGGCUUAACCGGAGUAGUGCAUUGGAAACUGGGAGACUUGAGUGCAGAAGAGGAGAGUGGAACUCCAUGUGUAGCGGUGAAAUGCGUAGAUAUAUGGAAGAACACCAGUGGCGAAAGCGGCUCUCUGGUCUGUAACUGACGCUGAGGUUCGAAAGCGUGGGUAGCAAACAGGAUUAGAUACCCUGGUAGUCCACGCCGUAAACGAUGAAUGCUAAGUGUUG